AACCAAAUGUGCAAAGUGAAAUACGUGCGCCCAGCGGUAAGGGUGCACCACUUCCGUUCCCUUUGACCUCAACCUGCUUCCAUGCGCACAGGACGAGGACGCCACCUGAUCUCGGGUUCAGUUUCGCUGACAGUAAGUCAUUAGAAUCUGGGUGAAUCUGGGUUUGUGGGUAUCUUGUGAUAUAGCCCUCUUUUACUUCACGAAAAUAAAAAAAAUGGUAUUUUAGUAUAUUUGUAACAAAGUUUUUGGGUAUGGUAGCAUAAUUGUAACUAAAGUAAUUAGCAGAGACGAAGACAACGGUAGGGUAGAGGGCUUCAGCCCCACUACCGCUGCUGGCUAGUGGAGAAAGACCUCGUUUAUUUGGCA
rnacentral:lncRNA from 1 species